rnacentral:rRNA from 1 species
UACGAAGGGGGCUAGCGUUGCUCGGAAUCACUGGGCGUAAAGGGCGCGUAGGCGGCCGAUCAAGUCAGAGGUGAAAGCCCAAGGCUCAACCUUGGAAUUGCCUUUGAUACUGUUCGGCUAGAGACCGGAAGAGGUUAGUGGAACUGCGAGUGUAGAGGUGAAAUUCGUAGAUAUUCGCAAGAACACCAGUGGCGAAGGCGGCUAACUGGUCCGGUUCUGACGCUGAGGCGCGAAGGCGUGGGGAGCGAACGGG